rnacentral:rRNA from 1 species
GACGAGGUGCACAAACGUUAUUCGGAUUUACUGGGCUUAAAGCGUGCGUAGGCGGCCUGGCAAGUUGGGUGUGAAAUCCCUCGGCUCAACCGAGGAAUUGCGCCCAAAACUGCUGGGCUAGAGUGAGACAGAGGUGAGCGGAACUGAUGGUGGAGCGGUGAAAUGCGUUGAUAUCAUCAGGAACACCGGUGGCGAAGGCGGCUCACUGGGUCUCUACUGACGCUGAGGCACGGAAAGCUAAGGGGAGCAAACGGGAGUUAGAAUGAUCCC